rnacentral:rRNA from 1 species
GGGGAAUAUUGGACAAUGGGCGCAAGCCUGAUCCAGCCAUACCGCGUGGGUGAAGAAGGCCUUCGGGUUGUAAAGCCCUUUUGUUGGGAAAGAAAAGCAUUCGGUUAAUACCCGAUUGUUCUGACGGUAUCUUAGGAAUAAGCACCGGCUAACUCCGUGCCAGCAGCCGCGGUAAUACGGAGGGUGCAAGCGUUACUCGGAAUCACUGGGCGUAAAGAGCACGUAGGCGGCUUUUUAAGUCGGACGUGAAAGCCCUCGGCUCAACCGGGGAAUUGCGUUCGAAACUGGGAGGCUUGAGUCCUGGAGAGGGUGGCGGAAUUCCGGGUGUAGGAGUGAAAUCCGUAGAUAUCCGGAGGAACACCGGUGGCGAAGGCGGCCACCUGGACAGGUACUGACGCUGAGGCGCGAAAGCGUGGGGAGCAAACA